GGGCAGUUAGCUCAGCGGGAGAGCACCUGCCUUACAAGCAGGGGGCCGGCAGUUCGAUCCUGCCACUGCCCACCA
rnacentral:tRNA from 1 species